rnacentral:misc_RNA from 1 species
AACGCACAUUGCGCCCCUUGGUAUUCCGAGGGGCAUGCCUGUUCGAGCGUCAUUACAACCCUCAAGCAUUGCUUGGUAUUGGGCCCCGCUGUUCACCCAGCGGGCCUUAAAAUCAGUGGCGGUGCCAUCGAGGCCCUGAGCGUAGUAAAUAUCCUCGCUAUAGGGACCCAGUGGACGCUGGCCAUCAACCCCCAACUUUCUAAGUUUGACCUCGGAUCAGGUAGGGAUACCCGCUGAACUUAA